GACGAACGCUGGCGGUGUGCUUAACACAUGCAAGUCGAACGGAAAGGCCCUGCUUUUGUGGGGUGCUCGAGUGGCGAACGGGUGAGUAACACGUGAGUAACCUGCCCUUGACUUUGGGAUAACUUCAGGAAACUGGGGCUAAUACCGGAUAGGAGCUCCUGCUGCAUGGUGGGGGUUGGAAAGUUUCGGCGGUUGGGGAUGGACUCGCGGCUUAUCAGCUUGUUGGUGGGGUAGUGGCUUACCAAGGCUUUGACGGGUAGCCGGCCUGAGAGGGUGACCGGCCACAUUGGGACUGAGAUACGGCCCAGACUCCUACGGGAGGCAGCAGUGGGGAAUAUUGCACAAUGGGCGGAAGCCUGAUGCAGCAACGCCGCGUGCGGGAUGACGGCCUUCGGGUUGUAAACCGCUUUCGCCUGUGACGAAGCGUGAGUGACGGUAAUGGGUAAAGAAGCACCGGCUAACUACGUGCCAGCAGCCGCGGUGAUACGUAGGGCGCGAGCGUUGUCCGGAUUUAUUGGGCGUAAAGGGCUCGUAGGUGGUUGAUCGCGUCGGAAGUGUAAUCUUGGGGCUUAACCCUGAGCGUGCUUUCGAUACGGGUUGACUUGAGGAAGGUAGGGGAGAAUGGAAUUCCUGGUGGAGCGGUGGAAUGCGCAGAUAUCAGGAGGAACACCAGUGGCGAAGGCGGUUCUCUGGGCCUUUCCUGACGCUGAGGAGCGAAAGCGUGGGGAGCGAACAGGCUUAGAUACCCUGGUAGUCCACGCUGUAAACGGUGGGUACUAGGUGUGGGGUCCAUUCCACGGGUUCCGUGCCGUAGCUAACGCUUUAAGUACCCCGCCUGGGGAGUACGGCCGCAAGGCUAAAACUCAAAGGAAUUGACGGGGCCCCGCACAAGCGGCGGAGCAUGCGGAUUAAUUCGAUGCAACGCGUAGAACCUUACCUGGGUUUGACAUGGAUCGGGAGUGCUCAGAGAUGGGUGUGCCUCUUUUGGGGUCGGUUCACAGGUGGUGCAUGGCUGUCGUCAGCUCGUGUCGUGAGAUGUUGGGUUAAGUCCCGCAACGAGCGCAACCCUUGUUCACUGUUGCCAGCACGUUAUGGUGGGGACUCAGUGGAGACCGCCGGGGUCAACUCGGAGGAAGGUGGGGAUGACGUCAAGUCAUCAUGCCCCUUAUGUCCAGGGCUUCACGCAUGCUACAAUGGCUGGUACAGAGAGUGGCGAGCCUGUGAGGGUGAGCGAAUCUCGGAAAGCCGGUCUCAGUUCGGAUUGGGGUCUGCAACUCGACCUCAUGAAGUCGGAGUCGCUAGUAAUCGCAGAUCAGCAACGCUGCGGUGAAUACGUUCCCGGGGCU
rnacentral:rRNA from 1 species